AAUAGAUACCCAGGUAGUCCACGCCCUAAACUAUGUCGACUGGUUGUUGGGGGAGUCUGUCCCUCAGUAACGUAGCUAACGCGUGAAGUCGACCGCCUGGGGAGUACGGUCGCAAGAUUAAAACUCAAAGGAAUUGACGGGGACCCGCACAAGCGGUGGAUUAUGUGGAUUAAUUCGAUGCAACGCGAAGAACCUUACCUACCCUUGACAUGCCAGGAACCUCGCAGAGAUGUGAGGGUGCCCGAAAGGGAACCUGGACACAGGUGCUGCAUGGCUGUCGUCAGCUCGUGUCGUGAGAUGUUGGGUUAAGUCCCGCAACGAGCGCAACCCUUGCCAUUAGUUGCUACAUUCAGUUGGGCACUCUAAUGGGACUGCCGGUGACAAACCGGAGGAAGGUGGGGAUGACGUCAAGUCCUCAUGGCCCUUAUGGGUAGGGCUUCACACGUAAUACAAUGGCGCAUACAGAGGGCUGCAAACCCCGGCGAGGGGGGAGCCGAAUCCCAAAAAAGUGCGUCGUAGUCCGGAUUGUUCUCUGCAA
rnacentral:rRNA from 1 species